UGCAGGUUAGUCCAGCUAAAUGAGAUCAUGUAAACAAUCUGUUUUAGUUAUGUUGUAUAAAAAGACUUCUCAAAACAAAGUUACAUUAUUUCAAAGGUAAAAAUAAUUCUUCUUCGAUCAAGAUACUCCCUAUGGUAAGAAAUAAACAAAGGUAUCUACCCGUAAUUGGUACCCUAAAGAGUCGUGCAUACAUUUCCAAGGAUGACGUGUAUAGAAGUAUAGUAUCAAGAUCUUCGCCAGGUGUACUUUGAUAAACAAAUGGUCGAAUGCGCACUUCGUGUCCGAUACUUUGAAUCAUAGAACAAGCAGUUGUUAAACGUGCUGCCUGUUGAAAAAUAAUAGGGCCAUUCGAUGGUGAGAAGAAGUAUAUUAAUAUCUGAUAAUUAAAAAAAGAGAAUCUGACAAAUUCAAAGACAUAAUAUAUGACAAUAAGUCUUUUAAAGAUAAGUGACAAAUUUAUAAUGUUGUUUCGUAAGAAACAGUAUGGAACUGAUUGACAAUGUAUUGAAUUUUAAAAGUACUCUUCUAUAAAUAACAAAAAAAAGGAACUUAUUAU